rnacentral:lncRNA from 1 species
CUUUUCAAAACUCUUAAAACUGCUUCAAUUACCUAUAUAUAAAAUCUAAUAGGAUUAGAACUCUUAACCCAGGUUAAGCAUUUUGAGUGGUGAUUAGGCCUAAGAGGGUAAAAAAGUUAAGCGUGCUAGGACGGAAGUAGUCCUAGGAUAGAUAACUUUUUGAAAAGUUAAAGUUGGGACGUCACAGUUGGUAUUAGAGUUAAUUACCAGCCGAAAGUAUGAGAUGAAUUUUGGCUGAAUCAGAGUCAGAAUAAUAAGACUAGCAAGAGGAGUCUCACAUCACUGGGUACUUGUGAGUUAGAACUUGACAAGAAUGUCAGGACUUAAAUGGAGAGAGAUUAUGAGAUCUCAGAUAGUCUUGUAUAUACAAUCUAAUAGCAUUAGAACUUUUAAUCCGGCCUAAAUAUUUUGAAUGGUGGCUAGGCCCAAAAAGUUAAAGGAGUUAAACGUAUUAGGACGGGAGUAGUCCUAUAAUGGUUGACCCUCAGAGAAGUUGGGGCAUCACAGUUUUUACCUUUAAUUUUUGCCAUCUAGUGUUAGAAAAAUAACUCUACUUAUGGUGGCAAUCGAAAUACGGAAUGAGAUUAAGCAUGAAGCGCAAAUGUGCAGAUGCAAAUUUAACUUCAGUAGUAAAUAAGCAUAUAAGAACUAAACUGAAACUCCAAAAUAUUUCUGAAAUUUAAAACUUAGAAGAGCUCAAAAACAAAACCAAACUUUAAAUUAAAAGUUUGGAAACUAAGGCCUUCAUUUGGUAUCAACUUGUUUAAAAAAAAAAGAAAAUUAAAUAACAAAACAUAUUAUUCAUUAGUUUUUAAAAAAGAUUUUAGAUUGAAAAUUUUAAGUAAUUCACUAAUAGUGAAAUUUAUUCGAGAGAUAAUUUAGAGGAUUCAUACAUAGGUAGAAAAACAAUAUUACCUGGGCAAUGAUGGUAGCUUUGGUUUGUUGCCACCCUUCCCAAAUCGAAGUUCCAAAUGCCGUCCCCUCUUUCUUCAUCUUUGAUGCAAAAGACUCUCCCGAGUCUCCACCGUUUCCUUCAUCUCGUUCCAUUCAAUUUUUUUUUUUUUAGUUUUUCAAAUCCCUUCACGAAGUUUCUCUCUUUUUCAUAUAUAUAUAUUGUGUGUAAUUGUUUUCUGAAAAGGGUGUGUGCUACGUGUCAUGUUGGGUUGACACGUGCUUCACUCCCAAGGUUUGCUGGUUAUUUUUUUUAUAUUUCUUUUGUCGAGCGAUUAUAUUCCUUCCAAUUGUAAAAUAUUAUUAGUUUCGUUGUAUGAGAGCUGGCAAGUUCCGCUGGUAUUCGAUUUGGAAUGAACUCGAGAUUGAUAGUUUAUUUAAUAAAUGAGACAAGCACGAGGGAGGAGGUAGGAUCAGCUCAUUCGUAUUAUUAUUGAUAUAAUUUGAAUAUAUAUAUUUAUAUAGUAUACAUUUUUAUUAUUUAAAAUUUAGACCAAUCUAAAUAUAAAGAGCUGUAUAUUUUGCAAAUUUUUGUAUUAUUAAAAUAAAUUUUUUAUUUUUUAUUUUUUUUCCAUCUUUUUAUCUAAUAGUAGGACUAGCAAUCUAACUUAUUAUUUGCGAACAAGUUUGUAUUUGGCUCAUUGCUAAAUAAGUCGAAUAUGAGCUGAAUUUUUCAACUUGAUAUUUUGACAAGCCAACAAGUAGAGCUCGUUGUUUAAACAAGUGGAAUACGAGCUAACCCCCCCCCCUCUCUCCCUCUCUCUCUCUCUCUCUCUCUCUCUCUCUCUCUCUCUAUUGUGUUAUUAGAAGUACAACAGUCUAUUUGCUCAUAAAUUUGUCUCUCUCUAUUGUGUUAUUAGAAGUACAACAGUCUGUUUGCUCGUAAAUUUUUUUCUCUAUUGUGUUAUUAGGAGUACAACAGUCUGUUUGCUUGUAAAUUUUUAACCAUCCAUCAACUUUGAUGAGUGAUUACGGUGAGAGAGAAGAGAAAUUGGGGAGAAAUUCAGUGUCUCAAUUUAUCUUCUCUUUAAAUUUCUUUCUAAUUUCUCUUCUCUCUCUCACCUUAAUUACUCAUCAAAUUUGAUGAAUAGUUAGAAAUUUAUAUGAGUAUAAGGGCCGUUGUGUUUCUAAUAGCACGGUAGCCAUACUCUCUCUAUAUAUAAUGUAGGUUUUCGACUCUUGGAUGAAGAGAUGUUCGAUUAUAAUGAUAGUAGUCCUUAAGGUUGAGUGAGUGUUUAGUAAAAUAGCAUAAUUUAAGAGGUGAAAUUGGUUAAAAGGAUAGAUCUAACGGUGAGAAACUUACAAGUAUCAAGCACUAUAACCGGACUCUAUAUAUUUAUAUAUAAGCUUGUGUUCGGCUCGUUAGAAUUUCGAGCUAACAAAUUCAGUUCACGUUUGGCUCAAUUUAUUAAACGAGCCGAUCGAUCUCGAGCUCAUUUCAAGCUCAACACGAGCUGGCUCGCGAACAUCGAGCUUGAUUGCUAGCCCUACUCAGGACCAUUACUCAAUCUUCGCCCUUCUUGGGCUGUUGGGCCCAUGGGCCUCAAGGCCCACUAAAUGUAUUUGCGAGUUACAGCAUCAUUAAAAAUCAAAAAUGUUUGACCCAAAAUGUCGGGAUACACAUAAUAGUAAUCACCAGUUUCUAUCAAAGCACGUAAGCUAUUGUUACUUUAUGUAAGGUUUUAUGGUAUUAUUAUUCGUGAGGCGUGACACGGCCUUAUAACUAACAAAAUAGUAUAUUUUUCGUUACCUUUCUCUUUAUUUUAGGUAGCGUUUUCAUAGGAAUGGAGAUUGCGUUGGGAAUCCACUAUUUUCCUAUAGUUUCUCUUUACUUGAAUUUUGCACCCAAGUACCUAACAUUUGUUUUUUAUUUUUUUUUGUUACAUUCUAAAUAUUAAUUGAACCCCUCAUAUAGGAACCCUCUCAUUGAAUUGAUAUUUUGACUAAUGGAAAAUUCAUUAUUUAGCCAAAAUGCAUCACAAACUAACCAACAACAGUAACGAGAGAAAAUAAUAUAUAUAUAAUAUAUAUAUAUAUAUAUAUAUAUAUAUAUAUAUAUAUAUAUAUAUAUAUAUAUAUAUAUGAUAUCAGAUGAUCAGGUCUAUAAAUUUUUCAAUAAAAAAAAAUCCUAAUUAAAGCACCCAACUAGACUACAACGUCGGUUUUCCUAUAAACUGCAACUUGAAAUUGUGAAAAGCAAUUUCUAGUUUGGCCAAUUUGCAUAAAAAAUUCACAAAUUUUUAGUUUUUGCAAAACUUGGCCUCUUUUCUCAAUUUUGCAGAUUCGGUCCGAAUUUUCAGCAAACUGAUCAAAAUAUUUUUAUUAUUUUUUCUCUCUUCUCUUUCUCUCUCCUCUUUUUUUUUUCUCUCGUUAAUUUUUUUUUUUCUCUCGCCGAAAAACAGCGAAGGCAGAGGCGACUUUUAUUUUUUUUUCUCACUCCCCUUUCUCUCUCAUUUUUUUUUUCUCUUGUUAAUAUUUUUUUUCUCUCGCCAAAGAAGACAGCGGAGCCAGAGGCGGAGGCGAAAAUGGCCUGCCUCGCCUCUCACCCUCAUGCCCUCGCCUUCGCCCUCGCCCACACACCCCCCCGUCUUUCUCGCUGCCUACCUCGUCGAGGCCGCACUGCGACUCUUUUUUUUUUCCCCCUCUCCGGCUCCCCUACACCGUUUCCGAUGACAACACCUCUCUCGCCAUUUCCCGUCCUUCUCGUCCUCUUCCUUUCCCUCCUCCGCCACGGCCUCCGACGACGACGCAUCUUCGCCGACGCCGACGCCGCGAUGGUCACUGCGGCGCCGCAACCUCGGAGCGGGGUGUCCUUAGCGACGUCGUCGCCAGCACCGUGGUCGUUGGCGGAGAGGGGUGAAAAAAAAAAAUUAUAGAGGAAGGAAGAAGAAAAAUUAAAGACAAAUAAUUAUAGAAAAAAAAAUCAAGAUGAAAUUGCACCGUUAUAAUAAAAUUGCACUGUUUUAAAGAACGUUGCACUAUUGUGGACAUAAGUUGCACCACUUAAGAUAUAAAUUGCACCCUUUAAAAGAAAAAUUACACUCUUUAAACAAAAAUUGCACUCUUUGAGAGAUCUUUAUUAUUAUUUCUCCUCUUAUUGCACUUUUUGAGAUGUAAACUGCAUUCUUUAAAAUAAAAAUUAUAUUUUUUAAACGAAAUUUACACUCUUUGAGAAAUUUUUACACCGUUUCUUCUCUUGUUGCACUCUUUGAACUGUAACUGCACACUUUAAGAGAUAUUUAUAUUGUUUCUCCUCUUGUUUCACAAUUUUUUCUUUUGUUGCACUGUUUUUUCUCUUAAAAAAUGCAACAAAGAGAAGAAACAAUAUAACAAGAGAAGAAACAAUACAACAAGAGGAGAAACAGUGUAAAUAUCUCUUAAGGGUGUAGUUUACAUCUCAAACAGUGCAACAAAGAGAAGAAACAGUAUAACAAGAGAAGAAACAAUACAACAAGAGGAGAAACAGUGUAAAUAUCUCUUAAGGAUGCAGUUUACAUUUCAAAUAGUGCAACAAAGAGAAGAAACAGUAUAAAUAUCUCUCAAAAGUGCAACUUUCGUUUAAAAAGUGUAACUUUUAUCUUAAAUGAUACAGUUUACAUCUCAAAGAGUGUAAUAAGAGAAGAAACAGUAUAAAUAUCUUUCAAAUAGUGUAAUUUUUAUCUUAAAGGGUAUAGUUUAUAUCUUAAGUAGUGCAACUUAUAUCCAUAAUAAUACAACGUUUUUUUAAAACAGUACAAUUUUAUUUUAACGGUACAAUUUUAUCUUCAUCUUUCUUUUUCUAUAUUUUUUUGUCUUUAAUUUUUUUUCUUCCUUUUUCUACAAUUUUUUUGGUCACUCCUCUCUGCCAAUGAUCACGGUGCCGACGACGACGCCACUAAGGACUCCUGCUCCGAGGCUGCGGCGCCAUAGCAACCUCCACGGCGUCGGCGUCGGUGAAAAUGCAUCAUUGUCGAAGGCGGCGGAGGAGGAGGGAGAGGACGAGAAGGGCGAGAGAGGGCGAGAGAGGCAUCGUCGUCGGAGACGGUGGAGGAGGAUCGGAGAGGAAAAAAGAAAAAGAGUCGCGGCGCGGCCUGGGCGGGGUCAGAGGUAAGGAAGGCGGGGGGUGCGCUGGCGUGGGCGUGAGGGUGAGAGGCGAGGCGAGCCGUUUCCACCUCCGCCUCUGCCUCUGCCUCCACUGCCUUCUUCAACGAGAGAAAAAAAAAAAAAAGGAGAGAGAAAAAGUAAUAAGAAUAUUUUGAUCAAUUUGCUGAAAAUUCGGACUGAAUCUGUAAAAUCAAAAAUGACGGUCCAGUUUUGCAAAAGCUCAAAACUUGUAAAUUUUUUAUGCAAAUUGGCCUUCUAGUUUUAUAGUUGAUUAUAUAAAUAAAUAAUUUUGUUGGAUUAUGAAAAUGUAUAAAAAUCUACAAUUUACUAGAUUGUGAUGCUCAAUGUAUGUUUAUUUAAAAAUAUAAAAUAAAAGGAAAAAAAACUACUAGAUGACGACCUUAGCCAAAACAGUAUCUAAAGGCGGUGAUUGGAUCUCCCACUAACUUAUGGCUUCUGUUUUUUUAAUAACAGCUAACAAAACUUAAUUAAACAAGAGUUUAAAUAAAAUAAUCUCUCUCUCUCUCUCUCUCUAAUCGAAGCUUCUAAUUUGAUAAUGACAUCGCAAAACCGCGGCCGGAAAAGAUGAUGGGGUCGGCAGUGGCCGGUGAGAUGAUGACGGCAUGACGACAAACCCCCGCACCCAAAAUGUAUCCUCAGAAAAAUCAUAAACAACAGAAAGCGACCCCCAUAUGUAAGAAUACCAGUAGUUUAAUGUUACGACAAUAUGAACCGACCUUGAGAUUGGAGGCUUGAGCCCUGUGAAUGUUCAAGGAGAAAUAAUGUGUAAGGAGUGUUACUACCGACUCGCUAAAAUUUUAAAUUACUGUAAAUAUGUCGGUGAUAAAAAGAUAAUUUUGUUCGCCUAUUUAGGUCAAGAAAAUUGCCCAAUGAGUUGUUCAGCACCAUAAGAACAUGUUACUAGGGAAUCUAAAGAAAGCGAUAUACAUAUACAUGUAUGUAUCUGUAAAAAUAUUUUAAUUGAACAGGUGUUAUAUGUGCGACAUUUAUCAUUUGUUUUUUUUUUUUGAGAGAAAUAGGUAGCACGCUACCCGCUUCGUUUAUUUCAUUUAGAAAUAAAUUUAGUUGGAAAUAUGAAUCAACUAAGAUUCGAACUUGGAUCUCGAGUACUAACCACUAAGUUCUUUGUCACUUGCUCUGGGAACGGCCGGUGACAUUUAUCAUUUGUGGAUGACAAACUAUCCACACAACUUACUCUUCAAACAAGCAAUUUUUUCCUUUUAUUUUUGGUGGCCGACACUGACGGACGACCACAGGAGUCUUAGUUUGCCGGUUUUUGCAAAAGUACAGCUGCUGCUAUUUUGCUGAUGACACUACAGUCUGAUGAUCAAAAGGGUACUUACUUAUCAAUCAAUCCUAACAUAAGUGAUAAAAAAUUUAAUAAUUAUUACUGAGAUUUCAAAUACGAAUUCUAAUUUAUUUAUAUUUUUAAGCUAAAUAUAUUUUUUAAAAAAUAAAUAAAAUAAAUAGUAUGGUAUAUUUUUCUCUCAAAAAAAAAGUAUUUACUUAUUGGGUUACCAAAUGUGUUACACAUAUUUAGGUAUGCAAAUAGAUUCGAAUUUGUGGAGUUUCCAUCAAUUUCGAAUUGGGCAGUAAGUAAAAACGAAAAAUAUAUAGAAACAUGUAAGCACUUUUGAAUCUAUUCUGAUCCGUCUCAACCUUUCUCAAAUAGAAUGAUUGGUUGAAGCUAAAAAUAUGAUAAAAAUUAAUCAGUCCUGAUCUGAAAAAUAAUUGGAUGAGAAGUGAAAAACCCUCCUGCUCACGGAUCCGCCCCGUUUGCCACGUGUGUUACUUGAAUUGAAUCUCCACUCAAAAAGUUGUGACAUUUAACCAUCUCAAUCCUUACAAGGAGUGAAAAAAGUUGAUGGCCCACCACACUUUCGUGAUAGGAACUUAAAGCACCAGUGAUUAAAGGAUUGUGGUAGCACUAUUUUUAUUAUUAUUAUUCUCCUAUAUUUUCAUGCAAAUAAUUAUUUUCUUUUUUUUUCUCAGAUUAUAUUUUUCGUAUAAGCAAUUCUGAGCAACAAAAUCAACUUCGUAACCCCAUUUAUUUUCGCUCUCAGCUCUACUUAUUUAUAACAAAAUAAUAAAUAGUUAUAAUUAUAAGUUAUAAAUUAUAUUUUUUUCUUAAAGUUUAUGUUAGCUAUAAAUGUCGCAUUUAAUAAAAAAUUGCACUGCACUAGUGCAACUUUUAGGUACAAGAUUAACUUUUCUAUCCCAAUUGAAAGGUACCUACUCCCUACUAAUAAUUAAUUAUAGGAUUAAUUUCAUACAAGUACCUGUAAAUAUAAAGAAUAACAGAUAUAUCCUUACAAAAUUUAACUUUUAUAUAUAAUCUCUACAAAAGUUCUGAUAUUUUCAAAUAUGUUUCUUUGGUUUAUUAUCGUUAGAGAAUUAUUUAUAUUUUUAAUUUUGUCAUUAUAAAUAUAUCCCUUCAAAAUCUAUAAGAGUAUAAUAUAACGGGGUAAAAAUGUCAAAAACUAACUAGGGUUAAGUAUUUAACCUAUGGUUAACUAAAUUUUUCUAACGGUAGGGACAUAUUUGAAAAUAUCAAAAUUUUUAUAGAAACAACAUAUAAAAAUUAAAUUUUUGUAUGGAUAUGUUUAUCAUUCACUAUAUUUGCAGGAAUCUGUAUAAAAUUAAUCCUCAAUUAUAUUUAGUGCAUGUGGUCAAUUCGUGUUCCGCAUCAGUAUAGCUGUACCCACAACUAUAAAUAUCAGCGUCCAUUGACAAAACAGGCACGGUAGGGUCCAACAAAAAAUUGUACCGCAUGCGCGCAAACCAUUCAACACGUACCCAAGUCAAAAUUUAGUUGCAAAUAUAGCAUUACUUUAUUCAGUAUAUUUCGCGAUCUAAUAAAUCACUCUCUAUCUCACUAUUAAUGUGAUCUUAGCAAUAUAUAUAUAUAUAUAUAAUAUAUAUAUAACACCACUUCAAAGUGGUCUUGCAUUAGAUAUGUUGUCAUUAUCAUAAUUAUCAUAAAAAAAAAAUCUUUUUUUUUUUUUUUCCUUUUCCUGUUCUUUGAAGUUAUUUUUACUUUCUUUCUAUAUGUAGUUAUUAGUUACAUGAUCUAAAUAAUGUGAAAGAGUUUUAGUAGAGAACAACAAUAAUUAAAUAAUGGAUGAUAUAUAUAUAAUUAUAUAAACUAUAUUUUUAGCACAUGCAUCAUGUGAUAAUUAUCUUGGUGUUUGCUGAGCACCAGGGAUUGUGUGGUGCAGGAAUUAAAAAGAGUCUUAUUAUUAUUCUUUUUGCUGAUAUUCUGGGUUGGCAAAGGGAGAUUUUUCCAUUUAAUUGAAUGAACUCUAGAGAAAAAAAAAAAAAGGAGAAAAAUCCUCUAAUGUAGAGAAAUUUUUUUAUGGCCCCAAUCUAUCACGUCAGUCACCGACCAUUCACUAAUAUAAUUUUUAAUUAAAUUUUAUUAUUCAUAAAAUAAAUUUUAGAUGUACAUAUAAAAUAAAAGAAGAGAUAAAAACGAUUUUAUAAGAAUAGCCAGGAUUUACGGUACAAAAAUAAAUUUCAAUCACGAAACUAUACGACUUUUAAACUAUUGUAAAGUUUGUUUGUGAGCUGAGCAUUACUCUCCAUCUCUUAUUUUUCAAAAUUAUUUUUGCGUAGGUGCCAAAAUCAAAUAUCAUAACAACAACUAAGUGAAUCAUUUUUUAUUACAGAGAUUUUGAUAGGGGGUAAGUGGAGAGAAUCAAUGCCCAUUUGUAAAGAAAAAGGUUGCAUGCAUGGUUCCAAAGAUGAUCUCCAGUGUAGCACAUUAUGCAUAAGUACACCAUAAGCACAUGAAAAGAUUACAUUGUUCUUGUUCCACACACAAAAAGGUUCCACACACAAAGAGGAACCAUGUAAAGCUUAAUAACGUAUACUGCACAUGAAAAGAUUGCAAUAUUGUACAACGCAUAAAAAAGAAGAUAAGAUUCUAUGGUGACCCCCCUCAACUAUUUGUCCUUUUGAAAUGACCUUCUAAACUUUAAUUUUUUUGCAAUUAAAUAAUUAAUUUUAGUCAAAAAAAUAUGGAUAUUAUCAAGUUGAUCGAAUAAUUUUAAUCACUUCUUAGUAAGUAAAAAAAAAACAAGAUAAUAAUAAAAAAAAAAAUCAAAGGUUAGGAAAGUCUCCAUUGGGGGGCCAUUUCAAAAUGGGAAACUUUAGAAAGCUCAAUAACACUAAUAUUGUGCACCACACAUAACACAUAAAAAAAAAAAAAAAAAAAAAAAAAAAAAAAAAAAAAAAAAAAUGCUUAAUAAUAGUACACAGGAAAAGAGUGAAAUGUUCCACACACAAAAAAAAGCAUUCAUUUGGGGGAAUACCUUUCCAUUGUGAGAAUCCCUUUACACUUGGUUUAGAAUCAAAUUUGAAUAGAAUUUAAUUCAUAACUCGUCGAGAGAUCGACUUCUUAAAGUCAAAUUACUUUAAUUUUUGUUGUUUUGAAAUGUAAACUUUAUAUAUGCAUGCUUUUAACCAUAUUUAACUUUGUGCUUUUAUUAAGAUUUGGAGAACAUGGUCCAUUACACUGUUAUAGGUAGGUACAAGUACAUGCCAAAACUUUUCUUUUUUUCUCUAAUUUUUCAUAGCACUUCUAUGCGAUUAAUUAUUCCAUUUUGCGCAAGGAAUCCACCAAAGGAUUUGAAUCUAUAAUGACCACUAAUUAUAGGCUCACAAACACCAAGUGCCAAAUAAAUGGUAAUGAUCUACAACUUCGUAGAAAGUGACAACAAAAAGGACAUAGCACCUUCUCUUACAAAAAUAAUGGACAUUCUCAUUCUUCUUGCUGCUAUUAAUUAUAGGUACUUCAAAAUGUCGACGUUUUAUGUAUUAUUAAUGUAUUGAUAAAUUCAUAUAUCAUUUUGAACUGUAUGUAUAGCCAAAUUACAAUGCUUCAUAUUAUAAUGUCAAUACGUCAACAAUUAUUGUGAGAUACAUAAUAAGGUACUCGAUCAAAUUAUUCCUCUAUUAAUUGUUAUACGACAAGAUAAGGAUAGAGAGAGGGGCCAAUCGCAAACCUUCCCUCCAAUUUUAGACUUAUUAAUUGUGACACAAAUUUGAUUCAAAAUUUUGUACAACCAAUAUAUGCCUCUCAUAUUUUUUAUUAGGUCUCUAAUUUACUAUUUGUAGUAAUAUAGUAGGCCAUGACGCGUACUGUGUUAGGAAAUUUUAGAUUUUAUUUAUACAUUAUUUCUCAAACAAAUGAUUUUGGUGAUUAGGGAAUAGCUUAAGAUCAUCAAAGAGCUUUAUGUACAUGGUUCUCUACUUAAAAUAAAUUUCUUUUUUUUUUUUUCGUUGGCGAUGUUUUAUAUUAAUCCUGCAAUAUUAAAUUAUAAUGUUGACGGUUCGCGAUCGUCCACUUGCCAAUUAAGAUAUUAAUAAGAUAAAUCGCAUCUUAAUUAAUCAAGUUUUAGACCCAUGUUGACUAAGUGGGGAAAGAGGAGCAGGUAUUAAUUGUACGUAAAACUUUUUAUUUGGUACUAUGCUCAUAUUAAUUAAUAGCUUUAUUCACUAACUAAUUGAAACAUAAUCUAAUGAAAAUUAAAAUUUAUUGAUAUUAAAUAGUUAUGUUUUUACUUAAAAAUUUGGUGGUGGUUGUUGUUUUGGGCAACCCCCUGCCCCUACUGCUGCUGUUGUUAUUUUCGUAUUAAUAUAUGCUUUUUGUUUUAACCUCUUCUAAUUGAAUUUUAUUUUGUAGUGUUACUAAGCUCUAAAUACAUUACAAAUGUGAUUUAGUUUUUAGUAUAAUAAAUAGAAGAUUACGUAAUAAACUUAGCUGGAAAUAUGAAUUAAAUAGGAUUCGAAUUUGGGAUCUCGAGUACGAACCCACCAAGCCUUUUGCUACUUCGCUAGAGAUGAUCGGUGACCUAACAUUAUUUUACUUUUUCUUUUUUGUUGAAGAACAAUGAAGUCUUUUUUCGAGAAGCCAAAAACUCUUAUUGAAGCCUUAAAAAAAAAGUUUUAAUUUGACGUAUUGGAGAAAAUUUAGUAUUAAAAUGUACUUUAACAAACUAUAUACUCGAGUCCGGCUACUAUACUAUUAAUAGCACGAAGCACUUGGUGCUACCAAGUUUUCCGCCGUCAGAUUUACACUUUUGAUCAUUUUCACACGUUAGAUCAUACUAUUCAACCAACCACUCACUCAACCCUAGGGGGCCCACAUCAUCCUAACCACACAUCUCUUAAUCCAAUGGCCAAAAACUUGGUAGCACCAAUGACUUGGUGCUAUUAAUAGUAUAUUAACCUAGUUCCUAUAUACUCUACUUAGACUAAUAUUAUAUCUAUUUGGUCCAAUAUAAACCAUUUGGAAUGGUUUUGAUUACCCCGCUUUAUAAAACUUGCUUUUCCAGAAGAACCCACAAAAGUGCACUUCUAGAAUAAACGUUUUAAUUCAAAGCAAAGUAACAUACAUUUUUAUAAGCAAAAUCAAACAAACAUUAAAAAAAAAAAAAGCAUAUAUUCUAUACAACACUUGGACUUUUUUUUUUAAGAGAAAGAUAGCUCACACUACCCACUUCAUUUAUUAGAUAAAUGAAUUUAGCUAUAAAGAGUAAGACAGCUACGGCCCCCAAAAAGGCAAAAAAAAUCAAAAAAAAAGGCAGAGAAAAAAAAAUUUAAAAAAAAUAACUAGAAUAAAAACAGAUACUAGUGUCCAAACAAAGAGUUACACAAACACCGACGUCACCCGACUCUACAAAAAUUGGCCCCACUCCUUCGCCAGCACUCCAAUACGCCGAGCAGUUGAAAUAGCGUUAGGGGAUAGAUUUCUAAAAAUAAUGUUAUUGCCUAUUUAAAUCACUUUCUAACCAUUUUUCGCUUUAUGAAGUGGAAUGUGUGCAAACAUCUUGAGGAGAAAAAUAGAAAAAGAAAACUAUGUGGAGGUGAGGUGGUGGGAGAAUAUAUAUAAAGCAAUUGAUUCUCUUAUAUUGAAUUGGUCAUUGAUAAGGAUGUAAAACAUGGUUUGAAUUUAUCCAAAUUUAAAAUUGUGGUCCAACUUUAUCUUAUUUUAGUUUAUUCAAAUUGAUUAAUUUAUUUAAAUAAUUCAUAUGCUGUUUACUUGGGCCACUAGUCUAGGUUUAACUUUUGUGGGCCCCACUUGAGCAACAAGAAGUAGAAAAUGAUAGGGGGAUGUGUGACUUUUCUUCAUCAACCACCCAUGACCCACCCCAUCAAAAAAUAAAAAAUUUUUAAAAAAAAAUUAAAAAAAGGUAAAAAAAUUCCAAAACUUUUUGGAAUGAAAGAUCCUAACCCCGGACCUUUCACUUGUUUUCCACCUAUUUUUUUGGAAUAAAUUAUUUUUUUUUUAAAAAUUUAGAGUAAAAUGCAUAGAUAUGUCUUGAAUUUUCCCCCACAUUAUAUGAUUAAAAAAUAGUUUUAUAGCAAAAACUUAAGCAUUUUUUUUUGUAUUUAAAAGAUAAAAUAUUAUAUUAUAUUGUAUUAAAAUUAGAAAAAACUUAUAAAAUUGCUCAUGUGGUUUCAUACUUUCUCAUUUUACUAUUCUGUGAUUUAAAAUGUAUUAAUUUUAUGUCAUGUGGUUUUAUUUUUAUCUUUUUAUUAUCGACUUAUUAAUUUUUUUCGUUAAAUCAGUGACAAAGUUAAAACUAAAUGGUACUAAAGUGAAUAUUUGAUAAGCCUAUAUGGAAUAUUUGAAGUUUUUUUUGUAUAUAAUUUAACGAAAUAUUAAUAAAAAAAUUGAUGAAAAGAUAAAAAUAAAAUCACGUGACACUAAUUUGAUACACUUUAAAUUAUAAUGUACUAAAGUGAGAAAAUAUAAAACUAAAUGAAUGAUAUUUAAAAUUUACCUUUAAAAUUAAGAAAGAACAAUUUAUAUAGAAAAAAUUGAGGG